UGAUUGGGAUUAUACACGUAUAAUUGCAGGCUGCCCAGCAAGGUAUGUAACGCCUUUCACUUUUGUCAAUUAGAGACGUAUAAAACAGUAAUAUCAUUAUUAAAGAAAUCAACCAUCGUAUUUACAGAAGAUGAAUAAGUAAAUACAUAAAAAAAAAACUUUUUGUAAGCCCUGUAACGUUCGGAUUUUCAGAUUUGGGUCAGAUGUACCUCGGGUGAACCACACAGCCCUGUGUCCCAAGACACAUGACGAUGCUUUCUUCGUUGACCUUGUUAAUUCUGGAGAUGUUUGGAUCUUCGUCAAUGUCUCUUGCUGGAAUGAGAAUUUCCAUUACUUCUUGGAGCCGUACUCUACAACGCUUUUACCAGCAAUGUUCGGGAAUUUGUACGAUGUAUCAACAGUUUACCCAAACGAUACUUGCGUUUUUUCGGCAUGGGACAACCACGUUCAAGAUUGCUUGGUUUACAGCGAGGAGCCAGACUGGGAUUUCGUUCUACAAUCAAUCACUUGUCCAUU